rnacentral:rRNA from 1 species
UACGAAGGUCCCGAGCGUUAUCCGGAUUUAUUGGGUUUAAAGGGUGCGUAGGCGGGUUAUUAAGUCAGUGGUGAAAGCCUACAGCUUAACUGUAGAAUUGCCAUUGAUACUGAUGAUCUUGAGUAUGAUUGAGGUGGGCGGAAUGUGUCAUGUAGCGGUGAAAUGCUUAGAUAAUGACACAGAACACCGAUUGCGAAGGCAGCUCACUAAGUCACAACUGACGCUGAUGCACGAAAGCGUGGGGAGCAAACAGG